AGCGAACGCUGGCGGCAGGCCUAACACAUGCAAGUCGAACGAACUCUUCGGAGUUAGUGGCGGACGGGUGAGUAACACGUGGGAACGUGCCUUUAGGUUCGGAAUAACUCAGGGAAACUUGUGCUAAUACCGAAUGUGCCCUUCGGGGGAAAGAUUUAUCGCCAUUGGAGCGGCCCGCGUCUGAUUAGCUAGUUGGUGAGGUAAAGGCUCACCAAGGCGACGAUCAGUAGCUGGUCUGAGAGGAUGAUCAGCCACAUUGGGACUGAGACACGGCCCAAACUCCUACGGGAGGCAGCAGUGGGGAAUCUUGCGCAAUGGGCGAAAGCCUGACGCAGCCAUGCCGCGUGAAUGAUGAAGGUCUUAGGAUUGUAAAAUUCUUUCACCGGGGACGAUAAUGACGGUACCCGGAGAAGAAGCCCCGGCUAACUUCGUGCCAGCAGCCGCGGUAA
rnacentral:rRNA from 1 species